rnacentral:rRNA from 1 species
GAGUUUGAUCCUGGCUCAGAUUGAACGCUGGCGGCAUGCCUUACACAUGCAAGUCGAACGGUAACAGGGAGCUUGCUCCGCUGACGAGUGGCGAACGGGUGAGUAAUAUAUCGGAACGUACCAUUCAGUGGGGGAUAACGUAGCGAAAGUUACGCUAAUACCGCAUAUUCUGUGAGCAGGAAAGCAGGGGAUCGCAAGACCUUGCGCUGAUUGAGCGGCCGAUAUCAGAUUAGCUUGUUGGUGAGGUAAAAGCUCACCAAGGCGACGAUCUGUAGCGGGUCUGAGAGGAUGAUCCGCCACACUGGAACUGAGACACGGUCCAGACUCCUACGGGAGGCAGCAGUGGGGAAUUUUGGACAAUGGGGGCAACCCUGAUCCAGCCAUGCCGCGUGAGUGAAGAAGGCCUUCGGGUUGUAAAGCUCUUUCAGCCGGGAAGAAAACGCAUGGGUUAAUACCCUGUGUGGAUGACGGUACCGGAAUAAGAAGCACCGGCUAACUACGUGCCAGCAGCCGCGGUAAUACGUAGGGUGCGAGCGUUAAUCGGAAUUACUGGGCGUAAAGCGUGCGCAGGCGGUUUUGUAAGACAGGCAUAAAAUCCCCGGGCUUAACCUGGGAACUGCGUUUGUGACUGCAAGGCUAGAGUACGGCAGAGGGGGGUGGAAUUCCACGUGUAGCAGUGAAAUGCGUAGAGAUGUGGAGGAACACCAAUGGCGAAGGCAGCCCCCUGGGUCGAUACUGACGCUCAUGCACGAAAGCGUGGGUAGCAAACAGGAUUAGAUACCCUGGUAGUCCACGCCCUAAACGAUGUCAACUAGGUGUUGGGAGGGUAAAACCUUUUAGUACCGGAGCUAACGCGUGAAGUUGACCGCCUGGGGAGUACGGCCGCAAGGUUAAAACUCAAAGGAAUUGACGGGGACCCGCACAAGCGGUGGAUGAUGUGGAUUAUUCGAUGCAACGCGAAAAACCUUACCUACCCUUGACAUGCCAAGAACUUUCCAGAGAUGGAUUGGUGCCCGAAAGGGAACUUGGACACAGGUGCUGCAUGGCUGUCGUCAGCUCGUGUCGUGAGAUGUUGGGUUAAGUCCCGCAACGAGCGCAACCCUUGUCGUUAAUUGCCAUCAUUUAGUUGGGCACUUUAACGAGACUGCCGGUGACAAACCGGAGGAAGGUGGGGAUGACGUCAAGUCCUCAUGGCCCUUAUGGGUAGGGCUUCACACGUCAUACAAUGGUCGGUACAAAGGGUCGCCAAGCCGCGAGGUGGAGCCAAUCCCAGAAAGCCGAUCGUAGUCCGGAUCGCAGUCUGCAACUCGACUGCGUGAAGUCGGAAUCGCUAGUAAUCGUGGAUCAGAAUGUCACGGUGAAUACGUUCCCGGGUCUUGUACACACCGCCCGUCACACCAUGGGAGCGGGUUCCGCCAGAAGUAGGUAGCCUAACCGCAAGGAGGGCGCUUACCACGGCGGGGUUCGUGACUGGGGUGAAGUCGGAACAAGGUA